rnacentral:tRNA from 1 species
GCUGGCGUAGCUCAAUGGCAGAGCAGCUGAUUUGUAAUCAGCCGGUUUUGGGUUCGAGUCCCAUCGCCAGCUCCA